GCCAGUCACUAGGGGUGCCGGGCCCGAGCACACUUCCCACAAGAAGAGCGCUUCACGCCCCGGCUGAGAUCACACCCUCCGAACCUGAUCCGGGUCAUGCCGGCGCAGGGAAGUGUCCCGAAUGCAAC
rfam:Synechococcus sp. SynAce01, complete genome.